GACGAACGCUGGCGGCGUGCUUAACACAUGCAAGUCGAACGCUGAAGCUCAGCUUGCUGGGUGGAUGAGUGGCGAACGGGUGAGUAACACGUGAGUAACCUGCCCUCUUCUUUGGGAUAACGCCCGGAAACGGGUGCUAAUACUGGAUAUUCACUGAUUCUCGCAUGGGGGGUGGUGGAAAGGUUUUUUCUGGUGGGGGAUGGGCUCGCGGCCUAUCAGCUUGUUGGUGGGGUGAUGGCCUACCAAGGCUUUGACGGGUAGCCGGCCGGGGGGGGUGACCGGUCACAUUGGGACUGAGCUACGGCCCAGACUUAUACGGGAGGCAGCAGUGGGGAAUAUUGCUCAAUGGGCGAAAGCCUGAUGCAGCGACGUCGCGUGAGGGAUGGAGGCCUUCGGGUUGUAAACCUCUUUCGCUCAUGGUCAAGCCGCAGCGUUGGGUUGUGGUGAGGGUAGUGGGUAAAGAAGCGCCGGCUAACUACGUG
rnacentral:rRNA from 1 species